UGGACGGUAUGGGGACCGUCCAGCAUCGUCCUCCAUCCGUCGCCGUUCACCUCUCCAUUCCUGGCCCUCCGUCGCCGUUCCUUCCGCGUCGCCAACGUCGGGGUAAGGACGUUUGAGACGCUCACAAAAGGACAAAAAGGUUAGGGUUUCACCAAUCUCCGGUAUGUGUUUCAUCACCGGUCGUGUUCAGUCCCUAUCAUCAUCACCUUCUGUAGCUCAAUCGGAACUCUCAUCUACACCUCCGUGCCCUACUUCCGUUUCCGAUCAACUACCGAUCUCCGGGUUUCGACGCACGGCGACGUCAGCGCCAGUUUGUUUCAACAAUCAGAGGCGAAGGAGAUUUUUAGGUUUGCUUUGUUCCCUGUUGCGACGCAGGAGACCGGCCGUGAAUAAACGAGCCGUCGCCGCCUCCCGCCUCUUUCGUGAACCAACCACCAUUCGGAGCCGCUGCUAGCUUCACUCGCCUGAGCCGAGGAGCUACGCCACCGGCGCUACCAUCUGUUAGUGUAAAUCGAUUCCAUCAUGGCUAACUUUUUAACUCAAUUAAAAAACGUUGAACACCUCAUCAAAAUCUGGUCUUGAUUAUUGCCUCUAAGUUUAUUGAAUCAAAUUUCGAAUAUGUUGAAUGGGUUAAAGAAUCUGUAGAUUGACUCAUUUCCAAUGUCAAAUGCUGCAGUUCCAAGAAGCAUUAAGGAUCAUGAGGGUUGAUGUUGGGCACCAGUUCUUUUCACCAUGUGAGAUGGUUACUGUAGGUUUUCAUAACCACUGGCUCAGUGGAAUUGAUUACAUUC